ACUGUGUUUGCUGGAUCAGAAGGUAAGUGUUUUAACCUUAUAAGAAACUGGCAAACUCUUUGUGAGAAUGAUUUUAUCAUUUUAUACUCCAUCAGCAAU
rnacentral:pre_miRNA from 1 species